AAUACUCCUUGGCCUGGCUGCAGAGUUUUUUGUUGUUGUUGUUGUUGUUGUUAGUGGUGGUGGUCUUUUUGUUUUUGUUUUGUUUUUUAAGAAAGAGGGAAAGCCACAGGCACCAGGAGAGAGCGCGACACCCGGACCUGUAUCGGUGGGUGCAUCGUGGGCUCUCCCAGCGUGGGGAGGCGAAAGAGUUGCUGGAUGGUGCCUCUCCUAGGCGAGUGUGUGCUCUCGGCUCGCGGCGCGGACAGCCGUCUGCUCUUGGUCAUUGUCUGGACAGUCCCUGCGGCGGCGGCCCGGGGGGAUGCCCCCGCCCGGGUACCUGUGUGUGGUGAUGGGCGGCCACAGCCCUGUGCUGCUGUGGCCGCUGCUAUAUAAGGAAUUCCUCGUGCCUUUCGCACCCGGUGGCUCCGUGGGGCUCCCGCGGGGCGUUAAACGACGAGGGUUUUUUUGUUUUGUUUUGUUUUUUAAGAAUGGGGGAAUAAAUGCGCCCCUGAUGGCAUCGAUGUGGCGUCCGGAGAACUAGGAAAUCCUGUUUAAGUGGCAACCCUGGCGCGCCCCCCGCGCCCCACCCCCGCCUGGUCUGUCUUGCUCCCUCCCCUCCGGGAUGCCAAACGCCAGGUUUUGUAACCUUUCCUGGCAAUUUUAGAUUUUGUGUGGGAUUUCCUGUCUAGAAACAGAUAGGAAGAUUUUAGGCUGUUCCAAAGAGGUUUCCUCUCUGUUGUAAACACAUUUUGAAUAUAUCUGUGCCUACAUUAAAAUCCCCGCUGCCAUGAAUGAUUUUUCAGUUGUUCAGAAAAACGUUGCGUUUCAGAGAAGCCUGUUCGUUCAGAGGGAAAGGUGUGUAGCGUCAUUGUGGAGAGGUGACUGGUUGUGGCAAGGACCCGAGCACAGGCUACUGCAAUUGUAAUUUCCUGCUUCUAGCGUCAAAUAGUGUCUGUUCUACAUUGAGCUGUUGCCGCUAUUGCUGAUGUGGCUUUAUGAAAGUUUCCAGUUUAAAUUCUCAACUGGCAAUUGGCUGAAAAUUCCCAUCUGAAGAAGGGAGAACCCAAGUGUCAUGUGACCUGGUUACUGUCUACUUGACAUAGGAAGGAACCAUCAAGAGAAAUGGAGUGACUAGCACCAAAAGGAAAUCAACGGAUAAUCUUAACUUCCACCACAAGAAGACUGUAGCGGUUCCUCCCGCACCAAGAACCAUCCGCAGAUCUUUUUCAGUGUUCUUGGAGGUGGGCUGAGAGCUUGGUCAGUUUGUGUCAGCCACUUUGUUCUCUAAAGGGAGGACAAGAAGAUGUGUGCUGAUCUUGAAAAUGCUAUGUGAGAAGUAGGAUCUGGGUUUGAUUCCCAACCCACAUGGUGGUUUACAACUGUCUUACAACUCCAGUUCGAAAGGAAUCUGACUCUCUCUUCUGGCUUACCUGGGCAUCUGGUAAACAGACAUUCAUGCAGGAAAAACACUCAUGCACAUAAAGAAUAAAUAAAUUUUUAAAACAACAAGUUGUUUUUCUUUCUCAUUAGUACUUUAGAGAUAAUUCUGUUCAGUGUAUCCAUUAGGUUAUAUAACCAUAUGUGAUAGUGAUUAUCUUAUCAAUUCCGUAGCUGUCAUAGUUACUUUUUUUAAAAAAAAAACUUCUGUUGUAAAAUAUCAUGACCAAAGUUACUAAUGAAAGAAAGUGUUUAAUUUGGGGCUUAUGGUUCCAGAGGGUUAAAUUUCAUCACCAUCACAGUGAGGAGCGUGGCAGCAGGUAGGCAGGCAUGGAGUAGUAGGUGAGCUUACAUCUUGAUCCUCAAGCAGAAGGCAGAGAGCUAACUAGGAAUGGAAUGGCAUGGAAUUUGAAAACCUAUAAGCCCAUCCCCAGUGACAUACUCCUCCAACAAAGCCACACUCCCAGUCCUUCCCUAAAUAGUUGCAUUAACUGUAGACCAAGCUUUCAAAUAUAGGAGUUGGGGUGGGGGUGGGUGGCAUUAUCAUUCCAGCAGAAUAAAGUUUCUUUUAAAGAUCUGGUUUGGGGGGCUGGGGAGAUGAGUCUGUGGUUACAGGGCUUCUUAUAUAAGAAUGAGGGCUGGAGUUCAGGUCUCCAGAACCCACAUAAAUGCCAGGUAAGUAUAACAGCAAGCCUGUAGUUCCAGUCUUGAAAGGUGAAGACAGGAUUCUCCAGAGCAAGCUGAAUAGCAAGACUAGCUACAUCAGCAUAUCUUCGUUUGACUGCUUUAAUGAAACAAAAUGGAAGAGCCAUCGAAGAUGACUCCUAACAUCAACCUCACACAUGGUCGCAAACAUGCACAUGUGUAUACACAUGGAAAACAACAAAUGCAGAGCUCUGGUUUCCACACAGCCCCAUUUUCUUUCUUGUGCUGGCCUUACUUAUAGUAAGUAUCAUUGAGCCACUCACUCAGCUCUGUAUAGUCCUUUUUCUCAUUUUAGGCUUAGUUGGUAAUCACUGAUAAUUUUUUUUGCAGAUUUUUUAAUUUGAAUUAGAAUCAAGAUUGUUUUACAUGACAAUCCCAGUUCCCUCUCCCUCCCCUCCUCCCCUACCACCCCACCCCCCAACUAAAACCCUACCUAUCACAUAUCCUUUCUGCUCCCCCUGGAUGGUGAGGCCUUCCAUAGGGUGUCAUCAAAGUCUAUUGUAUCCUUUGGGAUAGGGUCAUCCUCUCCUGAUACAGGUUGUCACAUCUGCUAUGUGUUGGUGAUUGCAGUGGCCAUGUCAGGUAUUCUUCCCCAGCACCCUUUUAUCCUCUUCUACAGUGUCUCCUGUACCUCAGAGAAGAUUAUAUAGAUGCCCAUUUAAUGCUGAGCACUCAGCAGUUACUUGCAGUGCUCUGACCAGGUUGAGUCUCCACUUUGACUAUCACCCAUUGACUAAGACUGGGAGCUACACUAGUCUAGAGAUAAAACCUUAAGUAUUUAGAAGGCAGUUUUAACUACAUAUUCUUUUAGCAAAAUAACAGUAGUAGAUCCUACCAUAUGGUCCAUGUCCUUCCUAGUCAUGACCAUUGACCAAUACAAAGCCAGUACUUUCUUUAAUGGAGCGGGCCUCAAAUAGUCAGGAAGUGGUUGACAGCUGCCAAAAUAGUUGUACCAGCAUUGCACCAAUGGCUAUAUCUUGUCUAGCAGGUUGGUAUUAUACCACUCAGUAUUUCAUUUUAAGUAGGAAUUGGUUUUUGGUUAUACAUAUUAUAGAUCUUUUCUGUAAUAUGUAAUGUGUCUUUAAAAAUUUAAUUCAAAAAUUGGACUCAUCUGUAUUGUGUGUAACCUUUUGUACAACUGUUUAAAGCAGAAAUCAACAAAUUAUGACUAAUGCACCAAAUCCAUCUCUCAGCUUAGUUUUUAUGACCCUCAAAGUCAAGAACUAUUUUGACAUUCUUAUUAAAAAGGAUUGCAUGGAUUACACACACACACACACAUACACACACACACACACACACACACACACACACACGAAUGUGGGACAAAGGCAAUAUAUUGGUUGGUUGAUUGGUUGGAGUUUAUUUUGACAAACUUUAAUUUACACUUAGGUCAGUUUUCCUUAGUUCAUUGUUUGGGGUUUUUAUUAACUACUAGUAAAUCUCUAAGUUAUUUAGCAAUAAAAUAUUGUAGUGAAAAUAGAAAGUUCAAUUCCUAUGAGAAUGAAAAAACAGAGCUAAAGUUAUUGGUUGUAUUUUACAAUGGUUGUAGCUAUAUACCAACACUUUCCAAUUUCUUACCAUCCAGUACUGGAGCCAGGAAGGCUGCUCUAGAUGUUUAGCUAGAGGUCCCUACGGCCUCAUGGAAAAUUUCUUUAUGUAGGGAAUUAAAGUAGAUGUGUAUCUUUGGCUUGAUUUAUUUGUUUUAAAAUGGACCUAGAAAGUUAUAUGUUCAAAAAUAUUGAAGUAAAAGCUGUGAGUGAACAAGGGACAUAUAGUUUCAAUGACAAGAAGGAAAGAUAAAUGAAGGUGCUCAAGUUUGGUUCUCACAGCAAAUGUGGCUCAUCAAGCAAGAAAGAUCCUGAUAGGAAAGCAAGCAGAGAAAGAUAUAGGGAACUGCAGAAGACUGCAGUACGCUGAAUGUAAACUUUAUGACAUGAGCAGGAGUGUUUCUGUAAGCUCAUGAGAAAAUGAAUACACUGAAUAAUAAAAACACAGAGAUGCACACAUUCUGGCAAAUGGUCUGCAUUAGACCUAUAUGGUGCUGGAGCUGUUACUGCCGGGCUGUGGUAGACUGAUUGCUACCUAGUGAGCAGGCAUUGCCCUGUGUUCCAUUCAUGUGCUGUGUUCUCUCCAUGGGUAUGAUGUGUUUACUCCUCCAUUGAUAAAAUUAUAGUUAUUAUGCACGGUCAUUUUGUCAUUUCUGUUUUCUCAGCCCAUUGACUUGUUGAUGAAGUCUUUACCUUUUAUCAUAAUUCCUCCUGUGUAUAGUUUAUAGUGUUGUGGAAAAGAAUAGGUUUUAGGUAUUUGUAUGAUUGAUUUCUUGUUUCUCUUAAAUUGAGCAGAUUUGUCUAUCUGUAGAUACUGUUAAUACAAAAUUCAAGAAACUCCAUACAUUUUGAAGGCCUGCUAAGCCACUGGUUUUAAAAGUUCUAGGCAGCAGAAUCACCUGGAGAGCUGCUCAGGCAUGGACUCUGCCAUUGUCGUUCAGGUUCUGUAGAUGGGGCUUAUGAAUAUGUAAAAAAAGUUACCAAAUCCAUAAGGUGGUGUUGAAACUGUUAAUCCAAGACAUGUUUUGAGAAUGGCUGAAGUUAACUAAUAACGGAACACAUACAUGGGGGCAUUAAAAACAGAAAUGUUUGAAUUGCACACAUUGAAUGAUUUUGUUUCUCUGUUACUUGGUUUUACCAUUGAAGCCAAUAAUGACCUCAUCCCAGGUAAUGGCAGCAAACUAGUCUUUAUUUUAAUAAGCGCCAACAUAACGCCUUGUUUGAAGAAAACUGUGAAAUAAGCCUGCUUCUAUUUUAUUUUAUACAUUUAAAAAUAGUGCUUUGUUCCAUGACAAGUCCUUAUGAAGCUCAUUUUUCAAGUCAGAAUCUUGGGUUGUUCAUCUCUCAUCUGGCACGAGAGGGUCAAGUCCUGUGGGGUUUGCUUGUUUCUUCCUGUAAGAUACUCAGUGAGGCAGGAACAAUGGCUCAGCAUUCCAGAGUGCUUCCUGUUCUCCAGAGCACCCAUGUCAGCUCCCAGCACUUAUGCAGCUCACACCCACCUGUAACUCCAGCUCCAGGGUCGACGCCUCUGGUCUCCAUGGGAAUCCAUAUGUGCAUAUACAAUCAAAAUAAAAUGUAUGGAUCUUAAGAGUUUCCUAGCAUAUUAUUUGCAUUGCAAAUUCAGUUUUGGUAUUAUGAAAUUAAUUUUUCAAAGAACUACCAUAAAAUUUGACUUUAUUUUUGAGAUUAUAAUUACAAUAUUUCUCCCUUCCCUUUCUUCCCUCAAAGACCUCCCAAAUACCCCUUCCUGUUCUCUUCCAUACUCAUGGCUUCUUUCCAUUAAUUGUUACAUGCACAAGUGUCUAUAUAUAUACAUAUAUUCCUAAAUAUAAUCUGCUCUGUUUGCUGUGUUACUGGUGUAUAUGUUUUCAGGACUGACCAUAUAUGUUCCAGUAUAUCUAAUUUGGUUUCAGUGUAAAGAGAUUGGUAAUGCUAAUGAGAAAGUAAAAUUAGCAUGUCUUUGCAGAAAUUAUAUUUUCUGAUAUCUUUUAAUAGGAAAAGAAAUUUUCUGAAAAUGCAUACAAUUUUAAAUAAAACUGCAUUUGCUAUGAACAGAGUGGUUAUAUAUAUUAAAUUUCUAGAUAUUAAAUAUUAAGUAUAUUACCCUAUUGGAUAUUUAAAAAUUUAAAUCAGAUUUUUAAAAGCAGGAACAAUGUAAUUGAAACAGGAUAUUUAAUUUUAUGACUAUAGUUAGACUUGAAGAUUGUGUGUGUGUGUGUGUGUGUGUGUGUGUGUGUGUGUGUGUUGCACAUCUGUGUAUAGCUGUAGAGGUCACAGGGUAACCUUGUGUGUCAUUUUAAGGAUGCUACUCACCUAGACUGGAACCUGGGGCUUGCUAAUUAGACUAGAGGAUGGCUGGCCAGUGAGCAGCAGGGAAUCUGCCUGGCCCUGCCUUCCUAGUACUGGGUGCCAGGGUGUUCCUCACACUACCUUUUCAUGUGGGUCCUGGGGUCAAGCUCAAGUCCCGUGUCUGCCUUUACCAAAUGAGCCAUCUUCCUAGCUCCUGAAAGUUGUUUUUGGUGUGACCUUUGAUCCUCUGAUUGUCGUGUGCUCUUUUCCUAUAAUCUGUUAACUUUGGGCUCUUCGUAAUGUUUGCAUUUCUUCAGCAGUUCUCUUGUCUGAAAAGUAAUAAAUGCAUUUUACCGCUAAACAAGAAGCUAGCUGCAGUUGAUACUCACUGGCAAAGGAAAAUGGUUGUCUCCAAUGGAGUGUCACUGUGUGUGCCAACCACACUUCAGGCAGUCCAGAUGCCCAGGAGUAAUUGGCCAACACAAAAUGAAGUCAGUAGUAUUUUUGUAGACUUUUUGUUUUUGUCUUUCCAAGGUUUUUGUCUGUUUGAUUUUUGUUUUGUGUGUGUGUGGAGGAUUGGUUGGUUUGGUUCUUUGGUUUGUUUGUUUUGUGAAAAAGAAAACAAAGUUGGGUGGGUAGAGAGGUGGGAGGAUCUGGGGAGGAGAAAAACAUCAUCAAAAUGUAUAAAAAAUUAAUAAAAAAGUGAGAAGAAAUUAUUACAGCUGAGAACAAUUGCUUUUCACAUGCUAGGGACUUCUGUAAUGGCUUUCCAUAAUUCAUCAAUGAAUGAAAGUCAAAUGAUAAAUGUAUCUGCUGUUUGUAUACACACAGAAAUAAUAAAUGCUUCUUAAUUUGUUAAUACAAGCUCUGGUUCUGUGCUUUAAACAUCUUUACUUGGCUAUGCACAGCACUGUGGCAAAUACUCAGUUAUAGAAAAAGUUACCAGUUUAGUGACCUUGUGCUCUUUUUUAAUGUAAUGUUCUGAUUACAAGCAAGGGCUUGUCUCCCAUUUGACAUGAUUUUACCACACCGUUACAGAAAACAGUGGCAAGCAGCCAUUCUGCAGUACCCCCUGCUUUUGCACAGCACCCCAGUCUUGCAGUGCACUGGGGUAGAGUUUGGAUACUGUGGUACCACUGGGAAGUGUUGUGCUAAGCUGUGGGCCCUGACUUUGAUCUUGCUCAGAUUGCAUUCCCCCUCUUAUUUAUUUGAUUUGGAAGUAGAAAUAGUAGAGGGUGAAGGAGGUCUCUGCCAGUGAGACACACGGUGGCUAAGAUUGGAAAGAUAAGAGAUGGGUGACCUUAGAGGAUGUGAGUGUUUGACAGGAGAGGCCUUCAAAUAUGGUCAAGGUCACAAGACAAGAGACCUGCUUCAUGGGUGUGUGAUCUAUGUAGAGGACCCAUUCUAAAAUGGGCCAGAUGCUUGGUAUAAUUCUUAAUUUUCAGAUGAGGGUCUGAUAUCUUCUUAGGCCGCAAAGUCCCACAAACUGUGGCCUAUACCAUAGUAGAAAUAUAAUAAGAGGACAGGAAGCAGAGAUUUCUUCUCUUUGAGUCUCAUUCCUUUUCAUAACAUUACCAGACUAGGAGUUAUUUUUCAAAUGAUGACUCAAAGACAUAGAAAAUUUGGCCCAAUUUCAAUGUAAUUAUAUGGGUAUAUAGAUAUUCUGUAAUGAAGAAGCUUGGUAAAAUUUUCUUAUAUGAUAUCAAAAGUAAUCACAUUUCUCAUAUAGAGACUCUAUGAAGUCAGAUCAGUACAGUUAUAUAAUCUGAGAAGCAAAAGUGAUUUGUGCUCCUGAAUGUUGGUUUAUUCUAGGAUAGUCUUUCUUGCUUUCUUUUUUUCUUCUGUAGUUCUUCUCUGGGGAUUUGAACCCAGAGUCUCACAUGUGCCAAGCAAGUGAUACUUCCUUUUCAGUAUAGUACUUUUAUUAUUUGAUAAUCACUUUUUCUUACUAUUGUUUUUGAAGUAGCCUUUGUCUCAUGAAUUUAUUGCAGUACUAGUAAGUUUUAUUUUUACAAAGACUUUAGAACAUGAAGUGUGGAAACUCAGAAUCUCAACACUUUUGAUUUUUUUAAGGAAGCCUAUUAGUUUCCUAUUUUUGAUAGUUUUACAGUGGUCAAAUAUUUAAAGUGGAAGGUACUGUUUGUAAAAUGCCUAGACCCAUUUUUCUAGAUCUCUUCCUUGUUAGCAUUUCCCUGAUGUUAUUGACUAUAGAACAAACUGAAACAAACCUCUGCUUUAAUGAUAGUUCCCUCUAUUCUAAUAAAUGGUGGUACAGGGUGAGGUACCGGGUUACCUGAAUCCACAGGGAUCUGAAGAGACUGGAGUGGGGCAAUUCAGAUGAUUUUCUGAAAAUCUGUAACUUUGCUAUAUGAGUGCCAGCCAGAAGUGAUGGUGUUAGAACCCUGCUGGUACAGGAGACACACCUGUUACUUAAGGGAGUAGAAAAGAGUGAGGGAGGCUAUAUGAUGUCAUAUGAAUUGGUCAUCAAUCUCAUUAUCAGGGGAGGGCAUUUAAGGUAGCCUCUCCUCUGUUGCUUAGAUUGUUAGUUGAUGUCAUCUUGUA